GACACGCCGCGUGAGUGAUGAAGGCUUUCGGGUCGUAAAACUCUGUUGUUAGGGAAGAACAAGUACGAGAGUAACUGCUCGUACCUUGACGGUACCUAACCAGAAAGCCACGGCUAACUACGUGCCAGCAGCCGCGGUAAUACGUAGGUGGCAAGCGUUAUCCGGAAUUAUUGGGCGUAAAGCGCGCGCAGGCGGUUUCUUAAGUCUGAUGUGAAAGCCCACGGCUCAACCGUGGAGGGUCAUUGGAAACUGGGGAACUUGAGUGCAGAAGAGAAAAGCGGAAUUCCACGUGUAGCGGCGAAAUGCGUAGAGAUGUGGAGGAACACCAGUGGCGAAGGCGGCUUUUUGGUCUGUAACUGACGCUGAGGCGCGAAAGCGUGGGGAGCAAACAGGAUUAGAUACCCUGGUAGUCCACGCCGUAAACGAUGAGUGCUAAGUGUUAGAGGGUUUCCGCCCUUUAGUGCUGCAGCUAACGCAUUAAGCACUCCGCCUGGGGAGUACGGUCGCAAGACUGAAACUCA
rnacentral:rRNA from 1 species